rnacentral:rRNA from 1 species
GUCGAGUCCGGUUGUUUGGGAAUGCAGCCCAAAUGGGUUGGUAGACUCCAUCCAAGGCUGAACACGGGCGCGAGUCCGAUAGCGGACAAGUACCGUGAGGGAAAGGUGAAAAGCACUUUGAAGAGAGAGUUCAAGAGAGCGUGAAACCGUUGGUAGGGAAUCUYUGGGUGCCGAGGCGGUCCGGCUCUUCGGUGUUCAGUCGACGCGUUGGUMGUCGCUUUUGCGGUCGUCGUCGCGUCGGUGCACUCUCCGUGGAGUCUCGGUGACCGUCAGCGUGGGGAGGGUCCGGCCCUGUGUGUCGCUGGUGGAGGUGGUGCCGAAGUCCGUCGCUCGCGUCGGUCUCCGGUCGUAAGCUCUUCUCGCGUCGGGUCGUGGCGUCCUCCCGUGGAGACGAUGGACGGCCUCGUCGUCCUGAUUGGUUGUAGGUGCGGGUCGCCCUUGUGGCGUCGCGGUCUCCUCGUCGUGCCUUCGUUGGUUCGUGGGAAAGUGUCUCUCGGGCCGGCUCCGAACGGUGUCCCGUCCGUGCUGCGCUUCCCCGUGCCGUUCGUCGGUCUUCGUUGGGUCUCGUCUGCCGCGCCUAGGUCGCUGACGUAGAUUCGGUCCCCAGUGCCCCGUCUUGAAACACGGACCAAGGAGUGCAAGAGGCACGCCAGUCUCGAGGGCAUGUCGGCCGUUCCGGCGGUCGUCGUCUGCGUUGCAAGCCCUKUGUCGGAGGCGUAGCGAGAGCAAGUGUCGGCCCAGAGCCGACGGGCGCGAGAGCCCGGACCCGUUCCGGGCGCAUCGCGGACCGAGUCGCGGUCACGCAGUGGCCGGCUUCGAGUGAGAGCGUGUCUGUUGCGACCCGAAAGAUGGUGAACUAUGCCCGAGGAGGGCGAAGCCAGAGGAAACUCUGGUGGAGGCCCGCAGCGGUUCUGACGUGCAAAUCGAUCGUGUCACUUGGGUAUAGGGCGAAAGACUAAUCGAACC